AAAAAAGCAAACCCUGGGUUUCCGUGUCCAACUUUGACUGUCCGUCUUAUAUGAUUUUUUUUAUAAUUCGUAUUUUCAUUGUUGUCAGAUGAUAAAACAUGAUUAAUAUUUUAUGCGUGACUUGUUUUUUUAAUUUUUUUCAUAAUUUUUCAAAUAAGACGGACGGUCAAACGUUGGACACGGAAAUCAGGGUUUGUCUUUUU
rnacentral:pre_miRNA from 1 species